UGUGCACAGCCCGAGAAGCACAUUCCUGAGAUGGAGUCCCCAAAGCACCUCAGCUUUUCCCUCGCUUCCGGUGCAUCUGGAUGAAGUUUCAGAAUUUCCAGGAUCACUCAGCAUGUUGGAUUUUCCCCCCACACCUAGCUUUGAGAUGGUGGCUAAGCAACCUAAAGUUGGAAGAGGUCAAGGCUGUAAGAGAGGAGACACAGAACUGUAUAGUCAAGUUCAUGUUCAGAAGUUGGAAAGUCUGUACCCACAUACUGGUCAGCAUCUCAGUCCCCCAUCUCCAACCAGUGGAUCACCGAAAAAAUGAGGACGAAAGCAGGAAGGCAAAGAUCAGGAAGGACAAACAUCUCACAGUAGCUGUAGUUACCUGUACAAGAUCAAGACGGCCAAAACUCCAGCAAGGACCGGGAGGAGCUCACAGGGCCUAACCCCUAACUGAGGAGCUACUGGAAGUUGAUGGCUGCUUUGGGGAAGGAGAAUCAUUUUGGGGAGACAUGUGACUACUGAUAGUUUGCCCACACUCCUGUGGAUGGUCCCAUACCUAUGU